GAUGAACGCUGGCGGCGUGCCUAAUACAUGCAAGUCGAGCGAACAGAUGAGAAGCUUGCUUCUCUGAUGUUAGCGGCGGACGGGUGAGUAACACGUGGGUAACCUACCUAUAAGACUGGGAUAACUCCGGGAAACCGGGGCUAAUACCGGAUAAUAUUUUGAACCGCAUGGUUCAAUAGUGAAAGACGGUUUCGGCUGUCACUUAUAGAUGGACCCGCGCCGUAUUAGCUAGUGGGUAAGGUAACGGCUUACCAAGGCGACGAUACGUAGCCGACCUGAGAGGGUGAUCGGCCACACUGGAACUGAGACACGGUCCAGACUCCUACGGGAGGCAGCAGUAGGGAAUCUUCCGCAAUGGGCGAAAGCCUGACGGAGCAACGCCGCGUGAGUGAUGAAGGUCUUCGGAUCGUAAAACUCUGUUGUUAGGGAAGAAUAAAUUUGUUAGUAACUGAACAAGUCUUGACGGUACCUAACCAGAAAGCCACGGCUAACUACGUGCCAGCAGCCGCCGUAA
rnacentral:rRNA from 1 species